rnacentral:miRNA from 1 species
AUCUUGCUGGGGCCUCCAGAAAUGUUGUGACUCACACAGCUGAGAAAGAGACUCGGACUCCACUUGGUGCAAGGAUCAAUAGUAAUUUAUU